rnacentral:rRNA from 1 species
UUAGGAAUCUUGCGCAAUGGGCGAAAGCCUGACGCAGCCAUGCCGCGUGAAUGAUGAAGGUCUUAGGAUUGUAAAAUUCUUUCAGUGGGGAAGAUAAUGACUGUACCCACAGAAGAAGCUCCGGCUAACUUCGUGCCAGCAGCCGCGGUAAUACGAAGGGGGCUAGCGUUGCUCGGAAUUACUGGGCGUAAAGGGCGCGUAGGCGGACAGUUUAGUCGGGGGUGAAAGCCCGGGGCUCAACCCCGGAAUUGCCUUCGAUACUGGCUGUCUUGAGUACGGGAGAGGUGUGUGGAACUCCGAGUGUAGAGGUGAAAUUCGUAGAUAUUCGGAAGAACACCAGUGGCGAAGGCGACACACUGGCCCGUUACUGACGCUGAGGCGCGAAAGCGUGGGGAGCAAACAGGAUUAGAUACCCCCGUAGUCC